rnacentral:rRNA from 1 species
UACAGAGGUCGCAAGCGUUAAUCGGAUUUACUGGGCGUAAAGCGUGUGUAGGUGGUUGUACAAGUCGGUUGUGAAAUCCCCGGGCUCAACCUGGGAACUGCUUCCGAGACUGUGCGACUAGAGAUCGGUAGAGGGCGGUGGAAUUUCCGGUGUAGCGGUGAAAUGCGCAGAUAUCAGGAGGAACACCGGUGGCGAAGGCGGGACUCUGGGCCGAUACUGACGCUGAGGAGCGAAAGCGUGGGGAGCAAACAGG